AUGCUGCGCAACAUGGUGGCGCUGGAGCAGAACAGCCCGCAGUCCCACGUCAUGGCCUACUGCCUCUUCAUGUCGCAGCUGGCCAGCACCAAGGAAGACGUGGAGCUCCUCGUCGCCAAGGGGAUCAUCGUGCACCUGCUCCACAGCGCCGACGAUGUCGCGGCGAACCUGGCCGGGCUCUGCGACGGAGUUGUCCUCGACGCGUACGACCGGGACUUGUGCUACCUCAGGGCGGAGCAUGCGGCGCUCGAGGAGGUCUGCCGAGACGGCUGGAAGAAGUCCAAGGCGUGGCUGCGGCACACCAAGUGCAACAACUAUUUGAUGGGGCUGGCCGUCCUCGCGGGUGCCGGCCUCUUCUUUUGCACGGUGGAGCAAUCGGUCUUUGCUGCGCUAAGCUAUUUUCAAGAGAAAAAAUAA
rnacentral:rRNA from 1 species